CUGCCUCAUAUCCAGUUAUGGCUAGGAUUUUUUACAGCAAAAAUGAUUACAAUGAUACAAAGAAGUUAGUUAUACACAGAAUCUGUUUUAUAAAUAUCUUCUUUGUAUUAUUGUAAUCAUCAUAUUGGUAUAUGACAGGGGAGGCACUGCCUCCCCUGCCUCCCCUGACUGCACGUCCCUGAGGGUCACGGCUUACUACACCACAGGGUGUGAUUCUUUUCUUUGUCUCUGGAACAACAAUAAAGUCUAUCUCUGGUCACUGUUGCGGCUUUGUAUAUCAUCAGGUUUCAACAAAAGAUGAGCCCAACAAUUCCAGCAUAUCAAAGCAUACAAAGCACAGAUCGGUCUGGUAAUGCACUAGGUUUGAGCGUAACAAGAUGCAUUUUAGAAAAUGACUAAAAUAAAACCCUUAUAUGAUAAAAGCAUAUCAAAGCAUAAAUGUGUACACAAUUAAAAACAAAUAUUUCUAUAUUCUAUGGUACCUGAAAUCACCAAGUCAGCAGUACUCAGUGUUUAAGGACACCAGACAGAAAUGACAAUCUGACCCCAAAAUCAGAUUCUCAACCUCCAGAAAAAAUUCUGCGUACCCGGGUGUUGCUGAGAUCCGAGUUGUGAGGCAGAUGUGUCCACUUUUCCGUCCAGAAAGUCCUUCCAAGAGAUCUCGGUGGGACCUCCAACUGUGAA